CCUACGGGAGGCAGCAGUAGGGAAUUUUCCACAAUGGGCGAAAGCCUGAUGGAGCAACGCCGCGUGCAGGAUGAAGGCUUUCGGGUCGUAAACUGCUUUUGUAUAUGAAGAUAAUGACGGUAGUAUACGAAUAAGGAUCGGCUAACUCCGUG
rnacentral:rRNA from 1 species